rnacentral:lncRNA from 1 species
CGUGCAGACCUUCCUCACUUUCACGUAGUGGGGUCCAUAAUCGGCCCAAAUGAGAUCCUUGCCGUCGCGGCUGAACUUCGCCGCCGAUCGGCUGCGGUGGCGGUCAGCGAGGUGCUGGUCCUGUUCCUUCAGCACCUCCUUUGCGAGCUCGGAGUUCGAAACGAUGACGUUGAGCGUGGAGCCGAACCACACCGAUAUGAUGGGCCCGUAGGACUGGGCCCACUCCGCGAAGCACCGGAACCGGACCGGCUUUAUGUCGUAGAGGUUACCGACUACCGGCAAGGGCCGUGGACCCGG